UACGUAGGGUGCGGGCGUUGUCCGGAAUUAUUGGGCGUAAAGAGCUCGUAGGCGGUGUGUCGCGUCGGCCGUGAAAACCUGCAGCUUAACUGUGGGCUUGCGGUCGAUACGGGCAUCACUGGAGUUCGGCAGGGGAGACUGGAAUUCCUGGUGUAGCGGUGAAAUGCGCAGAUAUCAGGAGGAACACCGGUGGCGAAGGCGGGUCUCUGGGCCGAUACUGACGCUGAGGAGCGAAAGCGUGGGGAGCGAACAGG
rnacentral:rRNA from 1 species